UGGAUCGAUGAUGACUGCUGGUGGCGUAUGAGUCUUAUACGAUGAAUACGUGUCUAGAACUCUGAGGUCCGU
ensembl:snoRNA SNORD114-25 small nucleolar RNA, C/D box 114-25